GAAAUGCGAUAAGUAAUGUGAAUUGCAGAAUUCAGUGAAUCAUCGAAUCUUUGAACGCACAUUGCGCCCCCUGGUAUUCCGGGGGGCAUGCCUGUUCGAGCGUCAUUUCACCACUCAAGCCUCGCUUGGUAUUGGGCAACGCGGUCCGCCGCGUGCCUCAAAUCGACCGGCUGGGUCUUCUGUCCCCUAAGCGUUGUGGAAACUAUUCGCUAAAGGGUGUUCGGGAGGCUACGCCGUAAAACAACCCCAUUUCUAAGGUUGACCUCGGAUCAGGUAGUGAUACCCGCUGAACUUAAGC
rnacentral:misc_RNA from 1 species